rnacentral:rRNA from 1 species
AGAAACCCGCACACCAAUAGACUAAGGUUUCCUGAUCAACGUUAAUCGGAUCAGGGUUAGUCGGGACCUAAGGCGAAUCCGAACGGAGUAGUCGAUGGCCAACAGUUUAAUAUUACUGUACUAGCUCUACUGCUAUGGGGUGACGAAGUAGUGAAAGAUCUGCGCACUGACGGAAAUGUGCGUUAAAGCCCGUAGAUAUAGGACCUGUAGGUAAAUCCGCAGGACCUGUCGAAGGUGAUAGUACCGCGAGUCUUCGGGCAAGCGGAUAAUGAUCCUAAUCAAACUUCCAAGAAAAACCUCUAAGCUUCAGGUAGAAGCUACCCGUACCGCAAACCGACAC